CUACAGUAGCUUUUAUUUUGGCGUAACCCAUGUGCUGCUUUCCCAUCAAAUGGUCGUCUACCCUGGACUGUGCAUCUCCUACAAUUAAGAAGGCUCCACAAACUUCACAAACUUCCAUUUGCUUUUCCUGUGCUGCAAAGCUCUCAAUCGUCUGCAAAAGAACUGAAGUUGUAGACCUCAGCAACUCUCUCUCUUCUUUUAAUUGUUCAACAAGUUUCAUCAUCCCUUGUGCCUCUUCCACCUUCCCUUCUGAGCCCAGUUCUUCAAUC
rnacentral:lncRNA from 1 species